GGCACAUUGAGAGGUGGGAGAUUCCAUGAAUUCCAGGUCUGAAGCUUUCAGGUCAAUUUUGGUAAGACAGCCAGGAGAUUCUCCGAUCAAGGACCAGAUCAUCCCAGCAUUGGACAUCCUGUGUGCACUGGAAUCUUUUCUCUGGGGAUCUCCUCUUCUGGGUUAUCCAGGACCUGAUGGACAUGACCCUGUGCAGCAGACUAAAGUAGGAGGGGGUUGAAGUCCCUCUGAAUGCCAGCUUUAGGGUUGUGGGCUAGAGUCCCACUAAGGAACAGGUCUGAGAUGCGUACCAGCACAAUGGGUCUGGCUGUCUGUCUCAGUCAUCUGCUGUAACAUGAUCACCAUGCUUUCAUCAGCGGUUCCCAAGACAGGAUAAGACAUACUUUGCUUGUGUCAUGGUUUUAUGAUUUUUAGUUACUCGUAUUCCACAUCAUAACAUCAUGUAGUGCACUGGGAGUUAAAGCGUUAAUGCUCCAGUUCCGGGCACCUGUCCGGAAGAGAAGAAGAACUACAUACCCCAGGGGGCUUUGCGGUCAGAGAGGAGAUAUAACCUCUGGCAAAGUCACCUGAUGUUCCCUUUUUUUCUCGGCUCUCAUCCCAACUGCACGCAUCGCCUCAGCACUACUGUAAGACCUACAGCUUUCAGCUACUCUUUCUCUCAAUAUAUUUGAUUUAUUAGCUUCAAUUCUGAUUGUAUUGUAUUGUAGUAUGUUAUCUUGCAUUCUGAUACUGUAUUUAGUAAAUUAGUUUGUUUCUCCUCAGACCGUUGCUGCUGUUUUUAAUUACUUUGGGGUCCCCUGUUUCCCUUAUCUGGAGGCGCGGAUUUUUGCAAAAUCCUUCCACCCUACUAGUCACGGAACUGGGCCAAACCAGCCCAUACACCAUUGACAGCUUGUCAACUACGUCACUAGGGAACCAUAAGAAUUGGAAUUACUGGGAUCAUUUAAAAUGGACUCUUGUUUGUAGUUUAACUAUAGUGGAAAGAGUUCAGUGUGUUAAUUUUAGUUUAGCUGCUUAUAGGAAUGUUUCUGAACCGCAUCUUUUCUUAUUAAUAGAGAAGGGGGAAAUGUGAGACAAAGAAAGUCAUUAUGAACAAAAGACCUAGCAAAUGAGUAAACAAGCUCAGCAAGUACUUGCGCCAGAUGUAAACACACACGAUGUGCCUGGCUCCUACAUGUGACCACGGGGUUGUUGCAUGGGUAUAAAAGGUUGUAAGCACAUACAAUAAACGUCUGUGUUCUGCAUCAGUAAGGGAGCCUUUGCCUCUCUUUCCGCAGAUACCUGUACAUUUAUCUUUUGCAACACACAAGGUAAAGAGACCAUUAAAAAAAAAAAAAAAAAAUAAAAGCUUGCAACAA